rnacentral:rRNA from 1 species
UACGUAGGGGGCGAGCGUUGUCCGGAUUUAUUGGGCGUAAAACGCUUGUAGGCGGCCACGUCGCGUCGUGCGUGAAAUCUCCCGGCUUAACUGGGAGGGGUCGUGCGAUACGGACGGGCUCGAGGCAGGUAGGGGGAAGCGGAAUUCCCGGUGUAGUGGUGGAAUGCGUAGGUAUCGGGAGGAACACCAGUGGCGAAGGCGGCUUCCUGGACCUGAUCUGACGCUGAGGAGCGAAAGCGUGGGGAGCGAUCCGG